UACGUAGGGUGCGAGCGUUAAUCGGAAUUACUGGGCGUAAAGCGUGCGCAGGCGGUUUUGUAAGACAGCUGUGAAAUCCCCGGGCUCAACCUGGGAACUGCGGUUGUGACUGCAAGACUGGAGUGUGACAGAGGGGGGUGGAAUUCCACGUGUAGCAGUGAAAUGCGUAGAGAUGUGGAGGAACACCGAUGGCGAAGGCAGCCCCCUGGGUCAACACUGACGCUCAUGCACGAAAGCGUGGGGAGCAAACAGG
rnacentral:rRNA from 1 species